rnacentral:sRNA from 1 species
ACCGUGCUGGGCGGGAGCUUCGGGAGCCGGCGCACGGGACUCGAACCCCAAGGGCUCCCGCCGCCAGGUCCACGUGGACCCUGGGCCGCAGUGGAACUGGAGCCCGCCCCCCGCGCGUGGGGGAGGGGGCGCUGCAGCCGGGUUCCCCUUUUUCUGGAGCUCAAAGCCUGGGGAAGUGAUUGCUCAAAGGUGGGGGCCGGAAGAACCCAGGUUUCCGCGUCUCCCUCCCCCUCUCAGCCCGGUGAGGAGGGGCCGGGGCGGGACACCCUGUCCGCCCCCGCCCCCACCCCGCUGGAUCUGGCAGCCACUUAGCCCUUCGAGCUGUAGGGGAGGCGCUGCGCCCCCGGCCCCAGCCGAUCGGGGGCUCCUGGCGCUAGCCUCCCUCCAGAGCGCCGCAGGAGUCCCUCCUGCCGUCUGACUUGAGUCCCUGCUGCUGCAGUGCACGCCCCUUCGGCAGCCAGGGUGGGGCCCAGACCCAACCUGGCCCCUCCUGCCCCCACCCCGCCUUUGGGUCGCUGACCCCCAGGCUGUGGUGAGGGUCUGAGAGCUGGUACCACGGAGCCUGGGCAACCUCCUCCGCCCACCCAUGCCCACCCCGCAUGAGGCUGAGAAGCAGAUCACAGGGCCAGAGGAGGCGGACCGGCCCCCUUCAAUGUCCAGUCAUGAUACAGCCUCUCCAGCGGCCCCCAGCCGCAACCCCUGCUGCCUGUGCUGGUGCUGCUGCUGUAGCUGCUCCUGGAACCAAGAGCGGCGGCGCGCGUGGCAGGCCUCCCGGGAGAGCAAGCUGCAGCCCCUCCCCAGCUGUGAAGUAUG